GUUGUAGCUCAGUGGUAGAGCUCAUGCUUUGCAUGAGGCCCCGGGUUCAAUCUGCAGCAUCUCCAGUAAUGUUUUCCAAUAUGGUCUACAGUUACAAUUCCUGGUAGGGGCCCGGGUUCGAUUCCCGGUAUGGAAACUA